rnacentral:rRNA from 1 species
UACGGCGAUAUUGCGUUGAAACACCGGUUCACGUAUGAUCACCGAAGUUAAGCAACGUCGAGCCUGGUCAGUACCAAGAUGAGUGACCGCUUAGGAAUACCAGGUGCUGUAAG